UUUUUUUGGUUUUUCUCCCUGUAUGCCUGCAUCUCACAGUGAGUACACAUUUGGGAACCUUCAGCCCAGAAUAUCUACCCAGUCUUUCUAAUUCCCUAUUUACUGCACUAACUUAAAAUGUGACAAUGCUCAUGAACAUUUUUAGUGUAAGAAUCAUAAUUGCUGUUAUCCUAAAAAUUUUCAUUUAUGUGGAUUUCUCAGACAGAUUCAGGCUAACCAAAUUACACUGGGUGAAGAAACAAGGCAUUGGUACACUGUCAUAUGGCUGAAGUUUGUGAAGGUUUGGAGGCCCCACAACAAGCUUGCUUUUGAACCUCCAGCAGCUGUCACCUGCAUUAUAUCUGUUUGCUGAUGAAUAACAAAUGGGUGCUUUCGUCCUUCUGGAAAAAAGUCUUGUGGCUAUUCUAAAGGUUUUCCACACAGGCUUCAUUGGGCAAUCUGGAGGAUGGAGAGAGAGUUAAUUUGGAAAGUCUGUGACCAUACCAGCUUCACUGGGAUCUAUGAUUAUGUUCAUCAUAGAACCUAAGACCUGGCACUAUUUUUUUUUAACUAGGACUGAGCUCAAUACCUUGUGAUUGCCUGGCAGGUGCCUCGGCAGGUGAACUAAUCCCCAGCCUCUGGCCUAGCACUUUGUACACACUGUUACAGAAACUGUUCCAGUAUUGUCACAGUAAGGAGGAGAUUAUAUUGGUAAAUCCAGGAAAAGUUAUGGGAAUUCUAAUAAAUAAAUUUCAGUCUACCAAGUCCAGUGAAAUUCAUGCCAUGAAUAAAGAGUUAAACCAGUAUCUGUAGUUGUGGGGAACCAAGGUAUUCCUGGUUCCAGUCAGAACAAUAGCUAAGCAGAAUAAAUGCCACCACCCAGUUCUGAACCAAGGUUUCAUUAACUUGUGAAGAGAGACAGGUUUGGGUCCUGGAUUGGGAGAUUGGAAGAGGUUACAAUAUCAAAUCACGGUGGCCUCAUAAGGAGAGUAGUUGGUAGACAGUGACAACUCUCAGAGGGAUAAAAUUGGGCAGCCAGGUGGCUGUAAGCCAAGGUUAGCCUUGGUCUUAGAGCGGAAUGGAGAAGGAAACAAAUUUCAGGUGAAGGUAAAGAGUCAGUCAGGUUAACCAGCACUCCAUGUGUAUCCCGAAAGCUGUGGGAGAGAAAUGUCCUGCCAGGAAUAUCCUCCCUCUACUGAGCCUGAUAGGGUCCUGUCGCGACCUCAGUGGUGCCUGGAUGAACUCCAGGACCCAUGAAUUCAUCCCCUUCCCCUCUACAUGUGACAUAAAAGAAGUCACAUGUUCCCCUGGAGCCCUAGAAAAAAAGAUGUCCAGUUUUUCUUCAGUUGGUGCUUAACUGUAGCCCUUGAAAAAAGAGAGGCUGUGGAGAAGCUAAAGUGUAUAAGGCAGAGCUUGGUAACAGUUUUGAGAGGGGAUUUGGAAAAGUAUUGAGUGGAGAAGGAGUGGAGGAGGCAGAAAUCAUCAGAACUGUGUCAUUGUCCUGCUUACCACAGAGUUGGUCCCCAUGAACCCAAGUAAGAGAGCAAACAAGAAACUGGCCUUCCACUGAGAUGAAACAUUUAUUUAGUUGCUGGCAUCUGCUCUAGAGUGAUUCUAGACUCAGCUCCAGGUAAGAUGGUUGCUCAUAGAGGGGAUUUACUUUACUGUGUGCAGGCAGCUCUGUUUCAUCGUUUUUUUUAUCCAGCUUAGAAACCAUGAGACUUUGGUGAAGAUACGCGGUGUUGUUCCAUUCUUUGGUCCAUAGGAGACAAUGCCUUGUGCCACAUUAUUACACACCAGGGGGCCUCCGGAGUCACCCUGUAAAUAGAGAGUGAGUCUGUGAACCAGUGCACCACUUAACUCCUCACUUCCAUUAUUCCAAACCCCCUCAUGCAGUAAUGAUUGUAAGGUCUGCUUGUGAGAGAUAGAGAGAACUACAGGCUGUUACCUGCUGAGCUCUGACUAUGGGCAUUUUCACUCUUAGAGCCAGCCUUUGUCUUCAUCCCCAGGUCUGGACCUCACCCCUGUUGAGUUGUGAGGACCAUUCAUUACAGGCCAGGGAGGCUGAUGACCAUGUCUGACAAUGAGCACAGAUGAUGAGCUCAUUGACCAAGAGGGCUGCUGUCUCAGAGGAGGUUAUAAUUCCUGCACACCAGGGAAACAGUUUUCUCAUGCCUGUGCAUGAGCUCAGGCAAUGUGUUACAAAGUGAAGCUUCCAGUGGCUGCACCCAGAAUAAAUGCCACCACCCAGUUCUGAACCAAGGUUUCAUUAACUUGUGAAGAGAGACAGGUUUGGGUCCUGGAUUGGGAGAUUGGAAGAGGUUACAAUAUCAAAUCACGGUGGCCUCAUAAGGAGAGUAGUUGUUUCCUUCUCCAGAGGCCCCUUAGUAAAGUGGUAGCGGCUUUAGGCUUUAGUACCUCCCAGCUCAGGCUUCUCCCUUCUUCUCUUUUCUGGGAGAAACAUAACAGCCAGCCUAUAGGGUUAAGGAAUCCAUGAUCCUUGGGUCUCCUGGUACUAGAUCUGUCCCAAACACUCUUUCCCACAAAGCCAAUUGUGGCAGAUGCCUCGUCUUACCUUAAACGAAGUAUUGUUAAUCUUGGGGUCUCCCACACAAAUCUCAGUAGCAGGAUCAUAUUUUUUCAAGUGUUUCUCACACUUCUUGUCAUUCUGCACUACCAUCUCCACUUCCUGCAGUGUACUUGAAUGGUUUCCAUCUGGGGACAAUCUUCCCCAUCCAGCCACCUGGCACCGGGUACCUGGCUUUACCUGGGUCAUCUCCUUGGGCAGGUUGAGGAGCUGCACAGCUUUAGUCAGCUUGGCCUUUUUCUGCAGCUGGUCGAAAAAUAAGUAAGGAAGUCCAGUUCAGUGCAUGGCUCCUGGGUAUGCACAGUGUGAUGGACAUGAUGGCAAAGAGGGCAGGGGCAGGGUGCCAGUGGGAGUGGCAACCUUUUUGAGGAGAGCAAGAGCCACAAGGACAUGUGCCUUACCUUCAGCAGCAUGAUGUCAUUGAUGCGUUUUUCCCAAUUAAAGUCUUGGUGGGGAAACGCUUUUUGUACACGGAUGACCUGCUGGGUGUCCUCUUGUUCCUUGAUGUUGUGGGCCCCCAAGGUGACCUUUAUUUGGCUGUACACAGAGGCAAGUGGAUUGGUGGAUGGAGAGCUACAAAAGACACUACCCAGGAUCUGUAAAAGCAGGCCACAACUGAAACAGGUAUAGCUGUAGAGGGCAGAGUGCUACCCGGCUGAAUGACUGUCCCUCCUUCUUAGUACCAAGGGAGGGCACCUUGAGCACCAGAGUUUCUCAGUGGUCAGUGCCUCCAGGAAAGGACAUGAAACUGUUUUACUUUGCUUGAUUAUGCCAAAGUAUUGUCCUGGGUCUAGAUGUAAUCAGGUUUGAUUGCCCUGGUUUUCCUUAUAUCAGGAAUUCUUUGGUGCCAACUUGCUUCUCUGCCCUUGGGAUAUGAUGACCCUUUCUCACUCUCACCAGUCCUCCUCAUGGUUAUGUCCAUGAACUCAUCGAGCUCCCCAGAAAAAAGGCACUGAGAAGGGUUUCCUAUAGACUGUGAACCUUUUUUUUUUUCUCACCCCUUUAAACAGUGAGCAGCUGUCAGCACAAAGUCCUCUUGAAUCAGGAAGCCACCACAAAUUUUCCUAGAUUUCUCACGCCUGAUCCUAAGGUAAGCCAUGUAGGGGCGGGAGUGGGGUUUGGCUUCAUGUCCCCCGAUGAUCUCUCCUGAAAACAACAAUAAGACUGGGUGCAGCCACUGAGUCCUUGAACAAGUAUCUUACAAUCUCUUAACAGUUGGACAUUUGGGAGGUUGCAGUUCCUUGAAGUGGACAGGAACCUAGAGGAAGAUGCCUGAACUUGUUUUCCAAUGUGCAGGAAAUUGAGUCUUGUUCUACAAAUCCUUUUCCUCUGUUUGAUUGGAGAUGACUGAAUUGAGAGUUGCCUUGCUCCAUGAAAUGCUUCUGCCAUAGUGUUCCUGUUUGAAGACUGCCUGCCUGAAUCACUGCAUCCCUGUUGCUCAAGGGCCAACUGAAGACAGGGAAACUGCUAUCUUUAGAAGGGAGAUAACUGGGCUGAGUAGAAGUUUACUUUGGUGUGACAUCCAUGUUUGAGUUUACACUACACUUUGAGACAGAUUCAGGCUAACCUAAUUAACCUGGGUGAAGGAACAAGGCAUUGGUACAAGGUCAGAUGGCUGAAGUUUGUGAAGGUUGAAGGUCUCCCACCAAGCUUGCUUUUGAAACUCCAGCACCUGGCACCUGAUUUACAUCUGUUUGCUGAUGAAUAACAAAUGGGUGCUAUCGUCCUUCUGAAGAAAAAUCUUGUAGCUAUUCUAAAGGUAGCUACAACCUGGGGAGGCACGUAUGGUCUUGGAGCAAAGGCUAUGUUGGCAUUGGUGAAGCAUGGCUGAAGCUAUUGAAUUAGUUCCUUUCUCAGUGCAUCCUGAGCUCAUGAGGGUUGUUGGAACAGGUAUGAGAGUGUUGUUUGCAUAGCCACGAAAUGGAACUGAGAGCUCUGUGGAGAGAUCUUGCCUGAUUUUUCUCUACGACUAUCCUGGGACCAGCAAAUACUGACUUCUUAGAACCACUCUCAGUCAAGUUGAGACAGGAAGAAGACCUACCUGGAUAAAAGUCCCUGUUAGUCCAUUGGAAAAUCCCAUUAGACAAAGACAUGCUAAUAAAUAGAGACACUGAGUCACGUCAAGGUCAUUUGAAAGUGAAGUACUAGGCCGAGAGAUCUUGUAAAGCAGGUGUGUUCCACACAUUGCCUGAAGGAUGUAAAUGUCUCCCAAAAGCAGCCCCACAAGAUCACACACGUUUAGCAAUUUCCUGUGAUUUUCAGCACUAUUUUUUACGAUUUGACUGUACAGUGCCCUUGCACAGAUGGGGUGACAGUGGAACUCUGUUGGCCUGGGCACAAAACUGUGUUAACUCUACCCUCCGUGCUCACCACACACAGUGCAUUCAUCAACUGCUAUUUACAAGGAUGAAGAACACAUAGCAUAAAAAUGUCAAAAUUUUUUGAUAAGGACCUUGAAAACUCACUAAAAAUUGUAACCUCUUUCAGUGAACCAUUUAUGGAUGUAUUAGUUUCACGAAUCAGGUCAAAGAUGCCAUUACAUUUAUGUUUGCAUUUUCCCCCUUGAAACAGUGAAAAGAAAAAUAUAAAUGUUUGGAUACUCAUAUACAUUAGCUAUAUUGUAGUUUUAAAGUGUAACACACGACCAUUUCUCUUUACAUACUGCAGACCAAAAAGUAAAAAAAUGUUUGGUGUAAAUGGUCCAAAUUUUCAUACUGGGUUAGGAAAGACCAUGGACGCAUGAGACAGUUGGGCAUGGGGGAAAUAAGCAGUGUGUCAGCUUCCUAGCUCUCCAGGAUUCCUGGCUGCCCCGACCAGGUGAAAUCAUGUGCACCCUGCCUGGGCUUUUAUUUCUCCUCAUUGCAGAGGAGACAGAAAAAAAUAAAGGAGGUCCUGUUUCACACAAGAGUUUGUAAGCUGUUUUCUUGAUUAAUCAUAAACGGCUAUCAUGUUGUAGUAACUUCUAUCAUCAUUUCAGGUGACUGCUUUCCUUUUGUCCCUUACAGGUAGCUUUUGAACACAUUUACUUCAGUGAUUUCCCUUUUGUGACCUGGCGGAUUACUCAGUUUCGCCUAGUGCAUACAAUGCUCUCAGGAAUAUCAUUUAUAUAUUUGUCUCAGUAUUCUGAGGAUAUGCAAGUGAAAUAGGUUUGCUAUCUUAUUGUGUCCUUUCAAUUUGCACUUACCGUAUGUAUUUCUCAAUGCUAUCUGAUAAGUUUGGACAGAGGUUUAUCCACAUGCAGGCUGUUUAAAGUACUUGGUUUUAGAUAAAUCAUUGCCAGCCUAUGAAGUUAAAUUAUUUUCUUUAUAAUUGGUGAUAUUCUUUUGGGAGAGUGAAGAAGGAAAUAACUGCUUAGUGUUCUUAGCCUCAUUUUCCCUACGGCUCCUAAGAAUCAUGCCACAUGUUUAUAAUACUAUAUUAUGUGGAUACAUCGUGGCUCCAUCUAACAAAUUUGUUAUUAUUCACACUAUUUCUAAUUUCUGAUAAUAUUAAGCAGUAAUGAAAGUAUAAUCUUUAUGCUGAGAGCUCAGUGUAUGCUGUGUGUAGUGUUGUGUGUGUGUGUGUGUUCCUGUGCCCGCACUUUCAUUUUGGUUUGCAGGAUGUUCUCCCAAUAGUAGAAUUACUGUACUGUAUUACUGUCAGUUGUCACAAAUGUUGCACCAGUGGAAAAUGUUCGUAAUGUGGGACACUGCACAUGUGUGGAAACAGGGACUUGGGGGAAAUCUCUGUAUUUAUCUAUCCAGUUUUCUAUAAACCUAAAAUUGCUGUUAAAAAUUGAAGAGUUUGCUGUAAUAUUAAAAAGGCUCUUUAAAACAAACAUAAGCCCAAAGGAACAAGCAAACAAGCCAGUCAAGAUUUGUAGAACAGUUGAUAUAAAUAAAGUAAGAGUGCAUGUAAAAAUAAUCAUAUCGAUAACUAUAUAAAUCAUAAUUCAGAAUAAUUCAUAAAUCAGUGAAAGUCCAAGAUAAUCGGAGUGGGGAUAAAUGCAAAAUAUAAACACAUGUUCUGUUUAAUACAUUGCAAAAGUUAAAAGGAGAAUGAAAAUACAAAUACACACAGAAUACCAAUAUAGGUGGAAAAGUAACAGAUAGUAUGAU